GACAGAGGAUGCAAGCGUUAUCCGGAUUUAUUGGGUUUAAAGGGUGCGUAGGCGGCCCUGUAAGUCAGUGCUGAAAUAUCCCAGCUUAACUGGGAGGGUGGCAUUGAUACUGCGGGGCUAGAGUACAGAUGAGGUAGGCGGAAUUGACGGUGUAGCGGUGAAAUGCUUAGAUAUCGUCAAGAACACCUAUAGCGAAGGCAGCUUACUAGGCUGUAACUGACGCUGAGGCACGAAAGUGUGGGGAUCAAACAGG
rnacentral:rRNA from 1 species